rnacentral:rRNA from 1 species
AGCUCUAAUAGCGUAUAUUAAAGUUGUUGCAGUUAAAAAGCUCGUAGUUGUAUUUUGACCUUGGACAGGCGAUCGGCUUCUGUCGUAUUGCCCUUCCUUGGUCUUCCUUCUGUGGACUGUCCUAUUAAGUUAGGGCGUGGACGCAGAUCGUUUACUGUGAGUAAAUUAGAGUGUUCAAAGCAGGCCAUACGCUUGAAUACAUUAGCAUGGAAUAAUAGAAUAGGACGUCGGGUCUAUUUUGUUGGUUUAGGAACCGUCGUAAUGAUUAAUAGGGACAGUUGGGGCCGUUUAUAUUCCGUAGUCAGAGGUGAAAUUCUUGGAUUUACGGAAGAUAAACUACUGCGAAAGCAUUCGGCAAGGAUGUUUUCG